AACAAUAAUUAAUUUUCUUGGUAGUUUUAAAUUUUUUUGAAAUUAAUUUUAAAAGGGCUUGUUUUUUGAAAUAUCAUUUAAAAAGAUAUUAAGUAAGAAACCGCCUUUAUUUAUUAUUGGAUGCAGUAUUUUUUUAGGUUUUUUUUUUAGGUUAAAGCAGGAAAAAAAUUAACAUGCCGCACUUUAAAAUUUUAUCGAAACGUCAAAUUCAAAGAAAAAUUAAAUCAAAAGCAACUUUGUUAUUGCAACAAGGUUUGCCCACGAAUAGUGAUAAUGAAACUAAUAUCCCUUCUAUUCCAUUAUUGCCAAAAAACUGCAGUGAAAAUAUAACUACACCUUUAAACAUUGUAACCCCAAAGAUUUGUUUAGAGCCCAAUGCAUCCUGUUCUAAAUUUAAUGAAAAUAGUUUGAAUGAGGAAAAUAAUUUAGAAUUCUUGGAAACUGGAUCAACUUUUGAUUUUGAUUCUGUCACUGACUCGUCUGAGGACAACGUAAAUGAUGAUGGUAGUAAAAAUGUAGUUUCCUUGUUAAGCCAAUGGGCUUUUCAAAAUAAUAUUACGAGUACUGCAACUACUCAACCUUUAUGCAUCUUAAAACCUCUUAUAAAAGAUCUUCCUAGUGAUUAUCGUAAAUUAUUACAAACACCACGGGCAACUGUUGCCGAAAUUUUAGCUAAUGGAAAAUUGCUUUAGAAAAAUUAAUUGCCCCUGAAAAUUUACCAUCUUUUCCUCUUAAGUCCAUGGAUGAAUUUUCAGGUUUUGAAAAUUUAAUAAAAGAGGACUCGACCGUCAAACAAUAUAUGGUACGUCGAUUAGCUGCUUUGGGAGGAUCCAAGGUUGAGGCAAUAACAAGACGUAUUAUGAAAUUUCUACUUACUAAUGAGGUAGGGAACCAAUUUAAUUGGAAGGGUCGCCAUAACAAAGUUAGUUUUGAAACCACUGCCAGUAUGGCUAUUGUUUACGAGGCCGCCAGGCUUAAUUUUCCUAUGGCCGAAAAAAACGAUUUAAAGGUAGCAUGGGGCGUAAAGGAGUGGCUAAAGCAUUCAGCCACGCGCAUAAAACAUGGUGAAAGGAUUUAAAUAUUUGCUUCAUCUAUAGGUUACGACGUUUCUGUAAAUGUACAUGUUAUAAACCUUCUUUUUUCUUAAAAAUUAGUUCAGUUGCGUUUAGUCUUAAACAUUGAUUGAGUUAU